GCUGUCCAAGGGACAGCCCAAGCCAAACCACAGGAAGAGUUCCUACUGUAAAUGCAGAAAAGCCCGUGUGAGGACGUGCCCGCGCUGUGCCUGCCCUGUGCCUCAGUUGCUGAGGGUGAGCUGCGGCCUUACCUACCAACUCAGAGAAAGCUGCGGGGGCCAGCUGCUUCUCAAAGCAACCACCCCCAGCUGGGACACUCCGGUCCCUUCAGAGUCACAGUAAGGCCUUCUCUGAGCUCUCAAGUAACUCGGGGUGGCAAAGUCUUCAGGAAUGAAAUACUGGGGCUGGGAAUAUAGCUCAGUGUCACAAGUGCCUGUCUAGCAAGCGCAAGGUCCUGAGUUUGAUUCCAGGUACCAAAAAAGGAAUGAAAUACUACCUCCGUUCUACAUGGAGACCUCAGCCUCCUGGAAAGGCCCAGAGAGCCAGUCAGACCCUAAUGUGGGCUCUGGAAAAACUUUGCCACGACACAUCUGCGUCCUGGCUCUCGUUACUGCCACAGCGCUCACGAGGGUUCAAAACACCCCCAAAACAGGGCUGAAUACGAGCCAUUUGAGAUGGUAUGAGGCCUCUUCUGUCUUCUGAUACGGUAGAGAACCCAGGGCCCACCAGGCUCUUACAGUAGCUUACCAAUCUGAGCCAAGUACACCAAGCCACCCAGCCACAUGGGGAUAGAGUCCCGCCAGCUCCUGGCCCAGGCGGGCAACCUAGCAUCUGCCGUGGAGGUAAAACACCCUUAAAACUUGCAAAGAAGGGAUCCUGCAGUCCAGUUAAAACUCAACGCCCUUACCUAACUUCACAGUCCGUGGCCCUGGGCAAAACAAAGUCUUAGGCGGUCCCUGCCCUCCCCCCAAGUAUGUGUGAGGGUACCCAAACAAGGCAGGGGCAACUACGAGCACCUCCACAGCACUCUCUCGCUCUUUCUUUGAAUUUCAAGGAACACAGAUGGCACGGCUGUGCUGCUGCAUAGAACAUCUCAUGCUUGUUUAGGGCUUAGUGAUUUUCACAGUACCGCUCCAUUCAUAAGCCAGUUCAUCAAGAGGACCUGUGCUGACACAUGGGUCAUCUUAACUGAUCUCUGCAGCAGUCUGGAUAAGGAUGAUCCCUUUAAAAACUGAUACUUAAAUUCUGAUUUUAUAAACAUGAAAAAUAAGAUGAGUGACGUGAUUAUAGUUGCAUAGUUAGUAGAUAGUAUAAACCAUGUACAAAGCAAUAUUUCUAGUAUACUGGUCACUUUUUAAGAAAAAAAUCAUUUUAAUUAUCUCUGUUUCAUUAAAACAGAAUUAGAAUCUCUUAAGAGUUUACACAAAAACUAAGUGGCACAUUAAGUCAUACAAUUAGCAUUAUGAAACAAAGGCUUCCUCUCAUAACCUUAUUAAAAAGUGUAAUUGGCCUGAUUCUUCAACAUAAAAUCUCCUUAUCCUACUCAAUUAUUCACCUAUCCCCCCCCAAAAAAAAAAUCAAAUUUCAUGUCUACUACAGAAAUGUGUGGUGUCUUUUAAAAUUUGAUGAUUACCUUUGAUCCAUCCAUUUUUUAAUCAUAUGUACUUUGAUUUCCACUGCUGAAAAUUGGUUCAUAUAUAUUUUCUUGACUUUAACAAUUGCCUGAGCCUAUAUAAAAUGUUAGGGUAAGUAUACGUAUUUUAUUUCUCAAAGAUAGUAUUAAAAUCAAGCCAACACAGAUGACAAGAAAAAAAAAUGCAAGGGCCUCUUCUCCAUGAGCUGGCCACACCCACCACAGUAAAGUGGUAGACAGCUGGGUUCACCCUCCUAGGAUAAGGCCAGCCUUGCCUGAACCACCAGAAGCAAGGGACCUUGUCCACAAGAAGAAAGUGACUGCUGUGAGCAUCUGGGACAUGGCAGGCUCCCUUCAGAGACACUCCAGUGCUACCCUGGGUGCAGGAGAGUAGAGACACUCAUUCAUAACCACCGAUCCACUGCAGCUCACUCUGGCACCUGUCUUGUGACUCGUUUUUAUUUUUUUAUUUUUUAUUUUUUAUUUAUUUUUUUC
rnacentral:lncRNA from 1 species